GAUGAAGAACGUAGCGAAAUGCGAUAAGUAAUGUGAAUUGCAGAAUUCCGUGAAUCAUCGAAUCUUUGAACGCAUAUUGCGCCCUCUGGUAUUCCGGGGGGCAUGCCUGUCCGAGCGUCAUUACAACCUUCAAGCACGGCUUGGCUGUUGAGCGGUCUGUUUUGACGAACAGGGCUCGAAAUGCAGUGGCGACGGCGAGAUUGGUGCCCGAGCGUAUGGGGCUUUGUCACACGCUCUGGUGGCUCCACUCGCAGUCUGUCAUAGACCAAAUCAAUCUGAUUGACCUCGGAUCAGGUAGGAACACCCGCUGAACUUAAGCAUAUCAAUAAGCGGAGGA
rnacentral:misc_RNA from 1 species